CCACAGUACGUGAGAAGCAAGUCGUGCUUCCCGCAGGUGCCCACUCUUCUUUUCCACACGGCUGGCAGAUCUGAAGAUCUGAAAGAAGAGCAAGGUUCCUGAGAGUCAGGUUCAGGUGCAGAGCAGAGUUCUGGGAGUGUCUGUUCCUGGCAGGUCUGAGCAGAACUCGGGUAGCCUGACAUCUGGCAUCUCCUUCCUGUUCUGGCUGAACUGGAGACAAUGUGGCAGAGCCAAUGACCUCGAAGGUCCAUUCAGGCCCAUUCCAGUCCCAGGCGAUGAUGUCAUAGUCAUCUAGAGGAUCCCCGAUGUCAUCGAAUGCCACCGUGUGCUUAUGUAGAAGGAAAUUCACCUUGUGGAUCUGCUGCAGAAGCUGGGACAGACAGACGUCAUGAAGCCAAGCUACUAUAGAACACACAAACUCAGGCAACCCAGGAAGCAGGCAGGAGCUCUCUUGUGCUUGUCCUGAGUGGUUCCAACCUACCCAUAAGGCCUGGUUCCUUCCUCAGCAAUCUGUUCCCACUUCUAGGAAUCCCCUUGGUCUGGGGAGCCUCCUGAGAGACCUCUAAUAAAGGACUCUUUUGCA